ensembl:lncRNA
GAGGAUAGUUCCCUUCUUCCAAAUCCCACAUCCCCGACAGCCUCCUCUGCACCUGGACAGUGCCAGACUCCUUCUCAGAGAUGAGUGAGUGUAGGUGGGACCAGCAGUUUGAAGCCAGGGUCUCUGUACUACAUAGCUGAAGCCAGGGCCUCCACACCACACAGCCUCUCUUUGCUUGCUGAAAGCCUCUGACAGGUGGACUGAAACUGGUUAUUAAAGAGCCACAGGUCAAGUUCCAAUGUCCUACUCUAGGAAGAAAACACAUUUUGUGUACCCAAACUGAGCAACAAGUCCUUUCAACUAUGUCUGAGACCACCAGGCAUACAACUUUGAUCACUCACACAGGAAAUUAGACUCUGCCAUCCUGGGAUGUGUUGGGAUCUGCCAAAAGGAAGCUCAGGUUCAUGUCUGUUCUGCUUUAUUUGGAAAAAAGAGGAAUAGCUUGGGAAGAAGGAAAGGUGGGGUUUCAUUCAUCCUAACAAGUCCUUAGCCAAGAACAGAGGGAGGAUAAUAUGACUGACUGUAACAGUGCCUGAGGACUUGUGGUGAAGGACGCCGGCACAAGUUUGAGACAUCAAUGUUCUACAGGGAUUCUCUCUAGAGGCUACUUCGUCUGAAGAGUGGGAUUCUUUUGUUUCAUCGUUGUAGUGGCAGAGCAUAUCAGUACAGAUGUGGGCAUAAGGAAGUGGAGGUGGGACUAACUUAGGCAAGCAGAUAACCUAUCUGGAGACAAGUGUGUAUGUGUUUCACAUUUCCUUCUGAAAAGGUUGAGUAAAAUGAGAAAUCAAAAAGGUUUUGCUCAGUUCACGAGACUUUUGGAAACCACUUGUGUGUUUAAUGAAGUGUAAAUACAAGGUUCCUAAGAGCUCCACAAAAUAUAAGAACCAUACCAUGUGCCAAGUACUCAUGACAGUGAAUGUGGUGAACUGCAGAUAAGUAAGUUUGGGAAAUUUAACUUGGGGAGCAGACAAAAGGUUCAUGGGCUUUGGCAUAGGAACCUUGUACCUGUAGGUAAAUUCUGACUAACAAUUACUGUGUGAUACUUAUACAUAACUAUCAGUGAGAUGAAGAGAAAGAGAACAAAGAAGGGGUGAAGAGAGAGGGAAAGAAGAGAGGAAGGUUAAGAAGCAGAUACAAUCAAAGUUAUAUCAAUAAGCUAAUUCAAGUGAGUGGUUGCCCAUGUCUUCCUGGUUAGCCUCUGAACCCUGCCUGUUAGUGAGAAAACAAACUCAGUCAGGGAGAAUCAUUGACAGAUUUUUGUGGUCUCAUGGUUGUAGAUGAUAUCUGUAGUAGGUAUUGGUUAUUACACUCAGAGAAUCUAGCGAAUGCAUCUCUGAACUUGACUUGUGUUUUCACAGAUAUACCCUACUAUUAGCCCCUUCUUUGCUAUUCUUUAGGAAGAAGAUUGUAACACUGGGGAUCAGUUCCUUCCUGUAUGCUGAGUCGCAGAGACAAUCAUGGGAAGAUUUUUAAGAUGAAACAUGGUCACAUAAGUUUUACUUUUAAAACUUUACUGACUUUGCAAUGUAGUCUUUUGACAUUUCCUCGCAAUGCAAAAAUCUAUUUGUACUUUCUGUUUUCUAAAUUGAAACUCAAAGUCCCUGAGUAGACAAAGAAAAAUUGAACAUCAUAUUUUUAUAGCUGGAGAAUUCAGUGAUAAAAAGGCUUUCUGGUCCAUGAGAUUCCAAGCGAUCCUCUGUGUGUCUUCCACCUCUGUGUAGAAGGGCG